GUACUGGAAGGGAUGAAGUCGCGGAGUCCACGCCCACCAGGAGCGUCAAAAUUUUAUGCAAAUUUUGAGUAUCGUUCAGUAGUUUGUAGCGUUUAAAAAGGAACUGAGAAUUUGCCUUAUAGAAUGAAAGGUUACGAAAGAUUUUUAAUAACGGAUGAUAUUUAUUGUGUAUAUUAAGCUCCAUACACGCAACAGUUCCUCUUAAUUGUAUCGUGUCUGCAUUUGGACCACAUAGUGUAUAGUGCUGCGGCGCGACCCUUCAGUAGUAGCAGCAGCAGUAGCAGCAGGAAGUUGAGGUGAACGAUGCAGCAGGCGUCGUGCACGCAGGUGAUGGGCUACUACCGGCCCGCGCCGGCCCCCGUCAUGCCCGUGCUGCCGCGGCCUCACUCCAGGACCGCCUUCAUGCCGCCGCACACCAACGUUGGUUUCUCAGGCGUUACCCCCGCACAGAGUUCAGGAACAGCGGUCCAUCUAAAGG